CGUGAGCGGCGGACGGGUGAGUAACGCGUGGGUAACCUGCCUCAUACAGGGGGAUAACAGUUAGAAAUGACUGCUAAUACCGCAUAAGACCACGGUACCGCAUGGUACAGUGGUAAAAACUCCGGUGGUAUGAGAUGGACCCGCGUCUGAUUAGGUAGUUGGUGGGGUAACGGCCUACCAAGCCGACGAUCAGUAGCCGACCUGAGAGGGUGACCGGCCACAUUGGGACUGAGACACGGCCCAG
rnacentral:rRNA from 1 species